rnacentral:tRNA from 1 species
GCGGCGGUAGAUGCGCGGGUCGAAAUCGGCGGCCUCGAGCCCAAGGAUCCGCGACUGCUGUUCAUCGAGCUGAAGCCGCAGGCGCGCAUCGUCGUGGUGUUCGACUCGCCCCCCGACG